GCUGAGAUUACAGGCAUUACUGGCCUAGAAAAACAAAUUCUGAAUAAGUAUGAUAAGACAAAUUCCUUGCCAGCAACUCAAUUUUAGAAAAUAUAGUUUUUAAUCUCAGGUAGCUUGGGAUGGCAGAAACAAACUGUCUUACUGUUUAUUCUUGAAAUAUACACUAAGAAACCUAUAUUCAUAAGAAGAACUCUUUUAAAAGGGAUAACAUUUCAUAAAAACUUUAUUAUUGACUUACAUUUAACAUAUGAGCUGUAGUAUUCUUCUAGAAUUUUAUAUUCGUUUUUAUUUUCUUGAGUUUUUUUGUUUUUGUUUUUGUUUUGUUUUGUUUUAGUUUUUGGUUUUUGGUUUGUUUGUUUUUUUGUUUUUUUUGAGACAGGGUCUCACUCACUCUGUCACCCAGGCUGGAGUGCAGUGGCAUGAUCUCGGCUCACUGUACCCUCGACCUCCUGGGCACAAGCAAUACUCACUCAGCCUCUUGAGUAGCUGGGACUACAGGCACAUGCCCCCAUUCCUGGCUAAUUUUCGUAUUUUUAGUAAAGAUAGGAUUUUGCCAUGUUGCCCAGGCUGGUCUCAAAUUUCUGAGCUCAAACAGUCCUCCUGCCUUGGCCUCCCAAAAUGCUGGGAUUCCAGGCAUAAGCCACCAUGCCCAGCCUAUUUUUUAUUUUCUUGAAUAUUAAAGGCAUUCCAUGACUAUUGAAGUCAACUAGUUUAAGUCUAAUGAAGACCUGAUUAAAGUUAAAUAUUUACCAAAAUAAAAACAAUUAUUAUUACCAAAGUAACACCAAUCUUUAAAAAUCAUUCCAAAAAAUUAAAGUAUCCUGCAGGGACUAUAUUCAGCAUGAGAGAUGAAGUAGGGAAUGUCAGGACUCUGAGCCUAAGCUAAGCCAUCAUAUCCCUAGUGACCUGCAUGUAUACAUCCAGAUGGCCGGUUCCUGCCUUAACUGGUGAUAUUCCGCCACAAAAGAAGUGAAAAUGGCCUGUUCCUGCCUUAACUGAUGACAUUACCUUGUGAAAUUCC
rnacentral:lncRNA from 1 species